CCCAGGUCUUUCCUGUGACCUAGAGUGUCAUGUGGGACAAGUUAUUCACCUCUCAUGAGUUUCCUUAUUAUUUAAGAAUUUCUCAUGUUUACUAGUAUUUUGACAAUGUUAGAACUGCAGGGAAGGCUUCCACAGUCCUGGAGAUGAGCCCUUCUCCUGUCUUAUAAGUUGGCUCCUUCAUAUACAAAUUUUAUUGGACAUCAUGUUUAAUGAAUCUUGGACUCAGAACAGGAAAAGGUUUGGAGCUGUGUACAGAGGAAACAAGGUCAAGAAUUUAGAUGUGUAAGUCCGAAAAGAUUAUGAAACUGGUGUUGAAAUCAGGAGUCAGAGUAGACCCCCAAAGCUGACAACACAGACAGAAUGAUGAACUCAAGAACAGCAGGACAGGAGGAUUAAUGAGAAGGUCACCUGGGUGAAUCCUAGAGAAAAAGAGCUCAUUGCAAGUGUGGAUGACCUCCACUUAAAGUGCCAAUACCAAAGCAGAGCAAACGGAAAGAUCUUUGAAGCUUCAUCUGUGCUGGGUCUUCGUUGCUGCAUCGGCUUUUGUGUGGUUGCGGUAUGCGGGGUCUACUCUAGUUGCGGAAGUCUCCAUAUUUGGCUCCACUAUCUAUUGAGGAAGCACAUGUAAUAAUGUUUCUAGGCUCAAACAC
ensembl:lncRNA